rnacentral:rRNA from 1 species
AACCCGAAGGCGCAAUGAAAGUGAAAGUCGGCACGUUCUGGCCGACUGAGGCGGGAUCCGUCCGGGCAAUCGCUGCAGCUGUCUCUCGGUCUCUCUCUUUUUCUCUCUCUCUCUCUCUCGAGGGCGGGAGGGGAGGGUGGCUUGGCUGCGGGAGCCCGGCGGCGCACCGCCGGCCCGUCUCGACCGCUUCCUGUCGGCGAGGCGGAGCAAGAGCGCACACGUUGGGACCCGAAAGAUGGUGAACUAUGCUCGGGCAGGACGAAGCCAGAGGAAACUCUGGUGGAGGUCCGUAGCGAUUCUGACGUGCAAAUCGAUCGUCGGACCUGAGUAUAGGGGCGAAAGACUAAUCGAACCGUCU